rnacentral:rRNA from 1 species
CCCUUAGAUGUCCGGGGCUGCACGCGCGCUACACUGUAGAAAGCAGCGUGCUUUAAAACCUUUCCUGAAAAGGAUGGGUAACCCCAGCAAAAUUCUACGUGCUUGGGAUAGAGAUUUGCAAUUUUCUCUCUUGAUCGAGGAAUUCCCAGUAAGUGCGAGUCAUCAGCUCGCGUUGAUUACGUCCCUGCCCUUUGUACACACCGCCCGUCGCUACUACCGAUUGGGAAAAUUUUAGAGAGUCCUGGACUGAUGAUUGUUCGGCUUCACGGCCUUACUUUCGUCGGGAAAGAAUUCGAUAAUAUUUUUCUAGAGGAAGUAAAAGUCGUAACA